UGGGGAAUCUUCCGCAAUGGACGAAAGUCUGACGGAGCAACGCCGCGUGAGUGAAGACGGCCUUCGGGUUGUAAAGCUCUGUGAUCCGGGACGAAAGAGCCUGAGGUAAAUAGCCUAAGGAAGUGACGGUACCGGAAAAGCAAGCCACGGCUAACUACGUGCCAGCAGCCGCGGUAAUACGUAGGUGGCAAGCGUUGUCCGGAAUUAUUGGGCGUAAAGCGCGCGCAGGCGGCUUCCUAAGUCCAUCUUAAAAGUGCGGGGCUUAACCCCGUGAUGGGAUGGAAACUGGGAAGCUGGAGUGUCGGAGAGGAAAGUGGAAUUCCUAGUGUAGCGGUGAAAUGCGUAGAGAUUAGGAAGAACACCGGUGGCGAAGGCGACUUACUGGACGAAAACUGACGCUGAGGCGCGAAAGCGUGGGGAGCAAACAGG
rnacentral:rRNA from 1 species